rnacentral:rRNA from 1 species
UACGUAGGGGGCGAGCGUUGUCCGGAUUUAUUGGGCGUAAAAGGCUUGUAGGUGGCCACGUCAAGUCGGAUGUGAAAUCUCCCGGCUCAACUGGGAGGGGUCAUUCGAUACUGGCGGGCUCGAGGCCGGUAGGGGGAAGCGGAAUUCCCGGUGUAGUGGUGGAAUGCGUAGAUAUCGGGAGGAACACCAGUGGCGAAGGCGGCUUCCUGGACCGGUUCUGACACUGAGGAGCGAAAGCGUGGGGAGCGGAUCCGGAUUAGAUACCC